rnacentral:rRNA from 1 species
UACGGAGGAGGCAAGCGUUAUCCGGAAUUAUUGGGCGUAAAGCGUCCGCAGGUGGCGAUUCAAGUCUGCGGUCAAAGACUGGGGCUUAACCCUGGAAAGGCCGUGGAAACUGAGUAGCUAGAGUGCAGUAGGGGUAGAGGGAAUUCCCGGUGUAGCGGUGAAAUGCGUAGAGCUCGGGAAGAACAUCGGUGGCGAAAGCGCUCUGCUAGGCCGCAACUGACACUGAGGGACGAAAGCUAGGGGAGCGAAUGGG